GUUAGGGGUGGUUGGUCAAAGGGAUGUCGGACGGUGUAAGCGGAUGGUGGAUCAACGUUGAAUUUGUGCUCUAACGAGGGAAUAUUCCUUCGUAGAAAAGAUUUCGUCGCAGAAUCUUUUUCGAGUCCAUAUUUUUCCCCUCCGAAGAAUUAAAUGCAGUCGAGAAAGAAAAAUAAGGUUCAAUAAUUUCGUUGACCGUGUUCUUGGUUAUCGAACUAAUGUUAAUUUUGAUUGCAUUUAGUAUCAAAAAUUAUAUAUGUACCUUAAUAUGUGUCGCAAUACGGUGAAUGGGAUUGGGAACGAUAAGGAAAGGAGAGGUGUGUUAAUCGAUGUCGAAGAAGAAGAGGAAGGAAAAGGAGAUACGGAAGAUGAAGAAGUGCGAGAGAUAUACAAAACUAAUUAAAGGCGUAGGCAGUUCCAAUACCCAGGAAGUAUUGCAAAGGACCUGAAUCGACCGAUAUCCGGAUUGUAAUUCCAAAGAAGAUACGAGAAUUUUAACUACGCUCAACUUGACACUUAAAUAUGAGACAUCCAAAGAGAAACAUAUUUACCUGGUCUUCCUGUUCUUCUGUACAUCCGAUAACAAGUCCUACAUGGAUAAUACAAACGUCAGACCAUCAACCAGAUCAAGGUUUUUGAAGCAACCCAUCGGCGGCGAAUACGCUCUAAAUGGUAGCUGAUAAUCGUAUCAUCGAAUUGUCUGCUUUGUUUCACUGGAGAAAAACUAACGAAAAAAGACCUUUUUCGUUUUCGAAAUAAGAGAGAAGAUGUACGCAACAUGCAUGCAAUAUCGCGCCCUCGAUCCCGCCAACUUGAACUACCGCACAUGUAGGGAGAGAGGUAAUAAAUAAUAGAUUAAUAUGAUAAGGCUGGACGAUAUGUACGAGGGAAUGUAUUACGUCCGUGCAGAUCAUUAAAUCCCGAUCAAUACCAGUUAACAAGCUAAUUCGUAGACAUAGGAGAUCAUAUAUUUUUGUCAAAUAUCAAAAUGUCGUCCUUUAUAAUGCCUUACGAUGUCUGUGAUAAAUGUUGAAGCUAUUUUCUUCCAACACUAUCAUUCGUCUCAUUAUGUAUGAGAUCUCUUCGUUUUCUCGUUGGAUGACAUCACUAUCACUGCUAUCUCCCCGAUUAAUAUUUAUUUCUUCUAACGUAUCCGUAUAAAUGUGUAUACCUGUAAUUCCCCUUCGGCAUUACAUAUGACUCGAAACUCUUGUUUGUAAAUUUUGCCAUGCUCAACGAAAAAGAAAUAAGUAAGUAAACGGUAUGGUAGUCUCAAAUUGUAGAUUAGGAAAUAACGAAGCGAUAUAUACAAACUGAAUAUUACUAUUCUGAUUUCCUGAAUUAUUAGUCGAGGGAUCUAUCUGUACUACACGAUGUUUCAAUACCAAGUGAGUUCAGCUUUGAAAAUCUCUUAAUCCCAGUUUUAUCAAUACUUGUUUACUUCAUCAAAUGUCAGCAUAUUUAACGAGGUCUACUCGCAUACCAUUGCAAACAAGUCCAUCUUAUGACUCUCUUUAAUCGGUUUAGAGACGCCCUAAGAUCGUUCAGAACCCAUUUCUUUUCCGUAAAACUGAUAUUCAGUUCAUGUAUCUUAGUAAUUAGACCAUUUCUUGAUUUGCUUUCUUUUGCCAUUUCAAUAGAAAAAUCCAGAGAAACAUGCAUGUCUCAAAAAAUUGGGAUGCAAUCACUCGAUCAUCUCAAAUAACUCACAAACUCUGUAGUUCUUUCGAAGGGGAAAUACGUGAAAGAGGAGAAGUUGAUAUUGGCAAACGAAGAAAUAUGACGUAUGAUUUUUUUGAGGACAUUUUUUUGUAUUAUUUUUUUGAAUACAUAUUUUUAUUAUAUAAUAUAAUUGUAAAAUAACGGAAAUAAAUUCUUCGAUAACUUAAGAUAUAUAUUUGUUUACAAAAAAAGAGGAUAAUAUUUGGAGAAAAUGUUUUUUUUCAUCGAAUGAUUUUACAAAAAGAAUUACAUAGUAAGAAAAUUGUAAUAUCAUUAAUAUUUGGUAAUAUUAGAAAACUGUUUUUAAGUAUAACUUGGAAUAAGAAAAAAAGAAACAAUUCAAAUUUCGUAUAGGAACUAACGAAUAAUUUUAUAGCGAUCAAUUCAAUGUAAUGUUAAUAAUUACAAUAAUUGCAAUUAAUCGAAGAAAUUAUUUACCGUUAUAGCUAUAAACUGUUCUAGUUAUAUACCGUUCUAGAUAUAAAAUCAAGGAAGCUUGACCUCUUAUGGAAGGACUCGUUCAAUUUGGGGAGUAGUCAUUAUUUGUAGAUUUGUUACGACUCACGAUAGAUAUUCAAUUGUUCAUGUAAAUUAUAUAGAUAUCAAAGAUAAAUCGGGUUGCGGACUUUUAAAUAAUAUAAAGAACCGUUUCUGAAAAGCAACAAAUAAUAAUUGAGAUGGUAUUUAACAGGAAAAUAAGUUUCCUUUCGAGAGUAUAUAAUUAAAAUUUUAUAAUAAAUUAUGUACUAAUGAUUACUGAUAAAUUUACCUUAUAAAUAACUGAGUAGUAAGAUCGAAGGAAUUCUUUCCAUCGCUUGAACUACUUGUAAAGAUGCCAAUUGAGAUGUAUGAGGUAUAGAGAUAGCGAUUAUUUACUGUACGAGACUCACUCACAUAUUUCUGGUUCGAAAACCACCGAAGGAAUAAUACGGAGCUAUGUCAUCUUUCUUCGACCUGCGCUAUUCAUCCCCUGCACAUCGUUUUGGGAGAUUGACCGAGUGACCACGAGGGCGCUCUCUGCAGUAUUAUCAAGCUUGAUGUAGAUUGAUCAAUUUUUCCUAUUAUACGAUCGAAAGAUCCGAAAAGAUCAUAAACUAUGAGGAAAUAAAAUUCUUUAUUGACCCCUAUUAA